UGGGGAAUUUUGGACAAUGGGGGCAACCCUGAUCCAGCCAUUCCGCGUGAGUGAAGAAGGCCUUCGGGUUGUAAAGCUCUUUUGUCCGGAGCGAAACGGUCGUGGUGAAUAUCCGCGACUACUGACGGUACCGGAAGAAUAAGCACCGGCUAACUACGUGCCAGCAGCCGCGGUAAUACGUAGGGUGCGAGCGUUAAUCGGAAUUACUGGGCGUAAAGCGUGCGCAGGCGGUUUUGUAAGCCAGAUGUGAAAUCCCCGGGCUUAACCUGGGAAUGGCAUUUGGGACUGCAAGGCUCGAGUAUGGCAGAGGGGGCUAGAAUUCCUGGUGUAGCAGUGAAAUGCGUAGAUAUCAGGAGGAAUACCGAUGGCGAAGGCAGGCCCCUGGGUUAAUACUGACGCUCAUGCACGAAAGCGUGGGGAGCAAACAGGAUUAGAUACCCUGGUAGUCCACGCCCUAAACGAUGUCGACUGGUUGUUGGGGGUUUGACACUCUCAGUAACGAAGCUAACGCGUGAAGUCGACCGCCUGGGGAGUACGGCCGCAAGGUUA
rnacentral:rRNA from 1 species